rnacentral:misc_RNA from 1 species
CUUCCUCUUUCUCUCUAUCUUUCUUCUGUGCUAAACCUUACGAACUACAAUUAAUAAACCUGGACCAAGAUCCAUCGUCUUCUCUUCCGCGUCAAGUCCGCGGUUUAGCUGAUGCCUUGAUGGGCCUUCUCUGCUCUUGCCUCGAGAGAAAACGCAAAUCCGCCCGAACCACUGGUUCCGACUGCGCUGAUGAUGACUCUGAAACUCAUGACCUCUUCUUCGAUCUCC